AGUGAACGUUGGCGGCGUGGAUUAGGCAUGCAAGUCGAGCGAGAACCGUAGCAAUACGGGGACAGCGGCGAAAGGGACAGUAAUGUGUAGGUACCUACCUCCGGGUUCGGGAUAGCUGCGGGAAACUGCAGGUAAUACCGAAUAACGUCUCCGGACCAAAGGUGUGAUUCCACCUGGAGAGGGGCCUGCAUCCUAUCAGCUUGUUGGCGGGGUAACGGCCCACCAAGGCGACGAUGGGUAGCGGGUGUGAGAGCACGACCCGCGUCAUUGGGACUGAGACACUGCCCAGACACCUACGGGUGGCUGCAGUCGUGAAUCUUCGGCAAUGGGCGCAAGCCUGACCGAGCGACGCCGCGUGCGGGAUGAAGGCCUUCGGGUUGUAAACCGCUGUCGUAGAGGAGGAAAUGCAGGGGGGUUCUCCCCUCUGUUUGACCUAUUCUAGGAGGAAGUACGGGCUAAGUUCGUGCCAGCAGCCGCCGUAA
rnacentral:rRNA from 1 species